rnacentral:lncRNA from 1 species
CGAGAAUGCUCUUGCGGCGACGCUAGGGUUCCGGUUGGCGAAGGUGACGUCAUGGUCACGGAGGAUUUGUCCGGCUAAAGUAGGGGAGGUGCGACGAUGAGGAGCUUGCGGCCGACGGAGAGCUUGAAGAUCGGGCCGUAGUGGAGGGACAUUUGCAUGAAGAGAUGGUGGAGGUUUGGCGUUAGGAAUGGGAGGUAGCCUA